CCUACGGGGGGCUGCAGUGGGGAAUAUUGCACAAUGGGCGAAACCCUGAUGCAGCGACGCCGCGUGAGUGAAGAAGUAAUUCGUUUUGUAAAGCUCUAUCAGCAGGGAAGAAAAUGACGGUACCUGAGUAAGAAGCCCCUGCUAACUACGUCCCAGCAGCCGAGGGAAUACGUAGGGGGCAAGCGUUCUCCGGAUUUACUGGGCGUAAAGGGAGCGCAGACGGCAUUGCAAGUCUGGAGUGAAAGCCGCGGGCUCAACCCGGGGACUGCACUGGAUACUGUACGGCUUGAGUGCAGGAGAGGUGAGUGGAAUUCCAGGUGUAGCGGUGAAAUGCGUAGAUAUUUGGAGGAACACCAGUGGCGAAGGCGGCUCCCUGGACUGUAACUGACGCUGAGGCUCGAAAGCGUGGGGAGCAAACAGGAUUAGAUACCCCUGUAGUC
rnacentral:rRNA from 1 species